rnacentral:rRNA from 1 species
UACGUAGGGCGCAAGCGUUGUCCGGAAUUAUUGGGCGUAAAGAGCUCGUAGGCGGCCAGUUGCGUCCGCUGUGAAAUCCCGGGGCUUAACCCCGGGCGUGCAGUGGAUACGGGCUGGCUGGAGGCAGGCAGGGGAGAACGGAAUUCCUGGUGUAGCGGUGAAAUGCGCAGAUAUCAGGAGGAACACCGGUGGCGAAGGCGGUUCUCUGGGCCGUUACUGACGCUGAGGAGCGAAAGCGUGGGGAGCGAACAGG